UGUAUAAAAAGUUUGCUGUUGUUGGAAAGCUUUUGGCGGGGAUGUCAAAGCGUACAAUAGUUUUCCAAAUUCUCUUCGUGUGUCAAGGUGAUUUCGAAUUUUCAUCAUUUUUGUUUCGAAAUCAUUCUAAAUAUCAUAAAAAAGGUAUAUUGUCCACACAGAUACUUUAUUCGGGUGUUAUUUAUCUACAAUCGACUUGUACCGCAGCCGGAAGAAGCCAUCCAUUGUGUUACAAGCUGUUAAGAACUUGUAAAACUUGUUCCGGAAAGUAGAAAAGAUGCGAGGAUUUUGCAUUUAAAUUUAUGCGGACCGCUGCCUAUAAAUUUUAAAAUAUGUUUCUUCCAAAAAUGUACUUCAAAACGAGACAGAAAUCUGAAAAGCAAGAAUGGAUCCAAAAAGGAAGUUGUCAAAGUAUACUCGCAAAAGAAUCUCGAAGAAAAACUACCGCGGAAAACAACAGAAUCCCAGCUAUCCGGACGGCAAUUAGCUGGAGGAAAAAACAUCAAAAGAAUUAUUUGUUCACCGGCAUAAUGGAACAGGCUUAGGUUCCUUAACUUUGGAAGGUUACCAAAUUCCGUGAAAUCAAUUCGAUCCGAAAUUUUAACCAUCGUGGUGUCCAUCGAGUUAAUGCCACUAGGACGUUUCUGUUGAAUUCCGUUCGAAUCUGUUGGCUUGAGGGAGCAGCUCAUCGGAAAUGUACAAAAGGUAUAUUACACACUCAGGUACCAAAGCAGAUCCGGGCCGGAUGCACAGGAAGCAGAAACCCUCAGAAAAGAAAGUCCUGGAAGAUGAGGAACAAUCUUCGAAGACGAUCGUCAUCACGGAGCCGAAACUGACAGUCUAACAGAA